AAGUACAUAUUUGUUUAUGCAUCAUGUGUAAAAACAUGCCUAAUAAUUUUUAACACACACAAACAUGUCCCAACAAUACUGACAUUCAUUUGGACAAUGUUUUAUAAACAAAACAAAGGCAACAUAUUACAAGCUUUUUACGCCACUCAAUUGAGUUCAUCUUGUAAUGUUGUUUAGAUAAGAUAGCUAAGAUAUGUAUCACUAACAUUGUAAUUUUUGAUUAUAUGUAGGCAAAGAGAAUGAUUUGCAUCUAGAAAGAGUAAUGAUUAGCAAAAAAUCAAGUGGUCAGUUUACUUCCUGCUAACAUGUAUGUGUGGCUACAUCAACUUUUUCCUCCUCCAAUACCCUAAAAAAAAAGAAAAGGAAUAAAUGUGCUUAAUAUUUUUUCCUAUUAUUUUGGCCCACUUAUAAUUAAUGAUGUUAAAAAAAAGGGUAAAGGAGCUAAGUGUGAUAUUUUGAAAACCAUCAAAAACACUUGCAAACUAUUUUGUGUUAAUUUUCACAAAUGUCUAACUUGUUUUUUCACAUUUUUUUGGGUGGCUGCUUGUCCUGGCCUUUGCCUUUAGCACUGUCAUGUUGGCGUGCUCUGGUGGACCGUCUUGGUGGUGAUGAGACUGGCGUGAUAUUUGGAGUAGUCGUACCAAGAACUGCUGGUUGUUUGCUGUUGGUGCAUGCAUCUGAGAUUUUCAGUCAGCAUCUUAUACCCAAUGUCAUACUGUAUGACUCAAGUGGACAUACAUAUCCUUAAUGGAUGUGGACAAGGACAUUUAGUUUGGAUUCCAUUUCAGCUUUUACUUACUGUGUUUGAUACUCACAAUCAAGAUGAGGGGAGUGUGGAUGACGUCUUGGAGGUGUGUCCAUAAUUUGGAGUGGUGGCACCGAACAUACGGACGAUAAUCUUCGUGGCGGGGUAGCCUGCUUUGUUUGUGCCGGGACAGACGACCUUGCUUUCUUUUCCGCCACAGGUUUCUGGUGGUGAUGUCUUCCAGAAGAGCCACUUCUGCUGCUCCAUACUUCUUUUGAUGGACCUUUUAAUGAAAGUGCAAUUUUGUUAUGGCCAUUCCUUUACAAGCAUACCUUAUACUACAAUGGACACUUUACCUGCUUCCGCAGCGUCAUCAUCAUCAGAUGUGUUAGGAUUUACUGGCCGACGAGUAGUACUGCUUUUUUCAGACACUGUAUAAAAUGAGAUAUAUUCAUAAAUCAUGCUAUUGUGUAUACAUCCACCCAUUAUGCUUAUAAACAGUUUUACAUUUAGAAAUGCUUGGUUUUGAAUUCAAACAAACAUAAGGACCAGAAAGCCAAAAAUUAAACACAAAAAACAAC